CCGGGUACAGAACAGGAAUGGAGUCUUAGAACUUAAGCACACGGGAAUACCAAUCAUGGACCAGGACGCCACCGUGCUAGGCACAGUACAAAGAUGAUCCUUGCCCCAAAGAGUUUUCAGUCAGUGUUGCAAAAGCCUGAUACCCCAAAGAAGAGCUCCUAACUCUACAAUUUGCUGUCUCCACUAACCUGAAGUCAGAGUUUGCUGGCCCUCUAGGCACAGAGUAAAACCUCACAUCUUCCACUGGGAUACUUGUGAGGUAUCUUUUUUUUUUUUUUUAAAUAAAU